AGUGAAAGCUUUCAGAUGUAAUUACUUUCGGAUGAGUAAAUCUUUUUUUUGUUUUAUUUUAUACAGAUUCAAAAAUAAGUUCAAAAUUUGUAACUUAUAAGGUUUAGACUUUUUUUGUAUUAAAUUGAUCAAAAAAAAAAAGCUUAAAUGGACCAACAUUGGACUUAAAAUCAACAUUAUAUCAAUAUUGAAGUCCAAACUGAUAUAAUCCACCUGAACCCGCUACAAACCGUUUACUUUGGUUUCAAAUGGUUUAUACAUGA
rnacentral:lncRNA from 1 species